AGUGAACGCUGGCGGUAGGCCUAACACAUGCAAGUCGAACGGCAGCACAGUAAGAGCUUGCUCUUACGGGUGGCGAGUGGCGGACGGGUGAGGAAUACAUCGGAAUCUACUUUUUCGUGGGGGAUAACGUAGGGAAACUUACGCUAAUACCGCAUACGACCUACGGGUGAAAGCAGGGGAUCUUCGGACCUUGCGCGAUUGAAUGAGCCGAUGUCGGAUUAGCUAGUUGGCGGGGUAAAGGCCCACCAAGGCGACGAUCCGUAGCUGGUCUGAGAGGAUGAUCAGCCACACUGGAACUGAGACACGGUCCAGACUCCUACGGGAGGCAGCAGUGGGGAAUAUUGGACAAUGGGCGCAAGCCUGAUCCAGCCAUACCGCGUGGGUGAAGAAGGCCUUCGGGUUGUAAAGCCUCUUUGUUGGGAAAGAAAAGCAGCAGGUUAAUACCCCGCUGUUCUGACGGUACCCAAAGAAUAAGCACCGGCUAACUUCGUG
rnacentral:rRNA from 1 species